UACGUAGGGUGCAAGCGUUGUUCGGAAUCACUGGGCGUAAAGCGCAAGUAGGCUGGUUUGCAAGUCAAUUGUGAAAGCCCCGGGCUUAACCCGGGAAUGGCAGUUGAAACUGCAGAUCUUGAAUAUCUGAGAGGGUGGGGGAAUUCCUGGUGUAGAAGUGAAAUUCGUAGAUAUCAGGAGGAACAUCUGAGGCGAAGGCGCCUGCCUGGCAGAGUAUUGACGCUGAGUUGCGAAAGUGCGGGGAUCAAACAGG
rnacentral:rRNA from 1 species